rnacentral:rRNA from 1 species
GGUUAAGCGACUAAGCGUACACGGUGGAUGCCCUGGCAGUCAGAGGCGAUGAAGGACGUGUUAAUCUGCGAAAAGCGUCGGUAAGGUGAUAUGAACCGUUAUAGCCGGCGAUGUCCGAAUGGGGAAACCCAGUGCAAUUCGUUGCACUAUCGUUAACUGAAUACAUAGGUUAACGAGGCGAACCGGGGGAACUGAAACAUCUAAGUACCCCGAGGAAAAGAAAUCAACCGAGAUUCCCCCAGUAGCGGCGAGCGAACGGGGAGCAGCCCAGAGUCUGAAUCAGCUUGUGUGUUAGUGGAACGGUCUGGAAAGUCCGACGGUACAGGGUGAUAGUCCCGUACACCAAAAUGCACAGGUUGUGAACUCGAAGAGUAGGGCGGGACACGUGGUAUCCUGUCUGAAUAUGGGGGGACCAUCCUCCAAGGCUAAAUACUCCUGACUGACCGAUAGUGAACCAGUACCGUGAGGGAAAGGCGAAAAGAACCCCGGCGAGGGGAGUGAAAAAGAACCUGAAACCGUGUACGUACAAGCAGUGGGAGCACCUUCGGGUGUGACUGCGUACCUUUUGUAUAAUGGGUCAGCGACUUAUAUUCUGUAGCAAGGUUAACCGUAUAGGGGAGCCGCAGGGAAACCGAGUCUUAACUGGGCGUUAAGUUGCAGGGUAUAGACCCGAAACCCGGUGAUCUAGCCAUGGGCAGGUUGAAGGUUGGGUAACACUAACUGGAGGACCGAACCGACUAAUGUUGAAAAAUUAGCGGAUGACUUGUGGCUGGGGGUGAAAGGCCAAUCAAACCGGGAGAUAGCUGGUUCUCCCCGAAAGCUAUUUAGGUAGCGCCUCGUGAACUCAUCUUCGGGGGUAGAGCACUGUUUCGGCUAGGGGGUCAUCCCGACUUACCAACCCGAUGCAAACUACGAAUACCGAAGAAUGUUAUCACGGGAGACACACGGCGGGUGCUAACGUCCGUCGUGAAGAGGGAAACAACCCAGACCGCCAGCUAAGGUCCCAAAGUCAUGGUUAAGUGGGAAACGAUGUGGGAAGGCACAGACAGCCAGGAUGUUGGCUUAGAAGCAGCCAUCAUUUAAAGAAAGCGUAAUAGCUCACUGGUCGAGUCGGCCUGCGCGGAAGAUGUAACGGGGCUAAACCAUGCACCGAAGCUGCGGCAGCGACACGAUGUGUUGUUGGGUAGGGGAGCGUUCUGUAAGCCUGCGAAGGUGACCUGUGAGGGUUGCUGGAGGUAUCAGAAGUGCGAAUGCUGACAUAAGUAACGAUAAAGCGGGUGAAAAGCCCGCUCGCCGGAAGACCAAGGGUUCCUGUCCAACGUUAAUCGGGGCAGGGUGAGUCGACCCCUAAGGCGAGGCCGAAAGGCGUAGUCGAUGGGAAACAGGUUAAUAUUCCUGUACUUGGUGUUACUGCGAAGGGGGGACGGAGAAGGCUAUGUUAGCCGGGCGACGGUUGUCCCGGUUUAAGCAUGUAGGCUGGUUAUCCAGGCAAAUCCGGAUAAUCAAGGCUGAGGUGUGAUGACGAGGCACUACGGUGCUGAAGUAACAAAUGCCCUGCUUCCAGGAAAAGCCUCUAAGCAUCAGGUAACAUCAAAUCGUACCCCAAACCGACACAGGUGGUCAGGUAGAGAAUACCAAGGCGCUUGAGAGAACUCGGGUGAAGGAACUAGGCAAAAUGGUGCCGUAACUUCGGGAGAAGGCACGCUGGUGUGUAGGUGAAGUCCCUGCGGAUGGAGCUGAGACCAGUCGAAGAUACCAGCUGGCUGCAACUGUUUAUUAAAAACACAGCACUGUGCAAACACGAAAGUGGACGUAUACGGUGUGACGCCUGCCCGGUGCCGGAAGGUUAAUUGAUGGGGUUAUCCGUAAGGAGAAGCUCUUGAUCGAAGCCCCGGUAAACGGCGGCCGUAACUAUAACGGUCCUAAGGUAGCGAAAUUCCUUGUCGGGUAAGUUCCGACCUGCACGAAUGGCGUAAUGAUGGCCAGGCUGUCUCCACCCGAGACUCAGUGAAAUUGAACUCGCUGUGAAGAUGCAGUGUACCCGCGGCAAGACGGAAAGACCCCGUGAACCUUUACUAUAGCUUGACACUGAACAUUGAGCCUUGAUGUGUAGGAUAGGUGGGAGGCUUUGAAGCGUGGACGCCAGUCUGCGUGGAGCCAACCUUGAAAUACCACCCUUUAAUGUUUGAUGUUCUAACGUUGGCCCCUGACCGGGGUUGCGGACAGUGUCUGGUGGGUAGUUUGACUGGGGCGGUCUCCUCCCAAAGCGUAACGGAGGAGCACGAAGGUUAGCUAAUCCUGGUCGGACAUCAGGAGGUUAGUGCAAUGGCAUAAGCUAGCUUGACUGCGAGCGUGACGGCGCGAGCAGGUGCGAAAGCAGGUCAUAGUGAUCCGGUGGUUCUGAAUGGAAGGGCCAUCGCUCAACGGAUAAAAGGUACUCCGGGGAUAACAGGCUGAUACCGCCCAAGAGUUCAUAUCGACGGCGGUGUUUGGCACCUCGAUGUCGGCUCAUCACAUCCUGGGGCUGAAGUAGGUCCCAAGGGUAUGGCUGUUCGCCAUUUAAAGUGGUACGCGAGCUGGGUUUAGAACGUCGUGAGACAGUUCGGUCCCUAUCUGCCGUGGGCGCUGGAGAAUUGAGGGGGGCUGCUCCUAGUACGAGAGGACCGGAGUGGACGCAUCACUGGUGUUCGGGUUGUCAUGCCAAUGGCACUGCCCGGUAGCUAAAUGCGGAAGAGAUAAGUGCUGAAAGCAUCUAAGCACGAAACUUGCCCCGAGAUGAGUUCUCCCUGAGACUUUAAGUCUCCUGAAGGAACGUUAAAGACGAUGACGUUGAUAGGCCGGGUGUGUAAGCGCAGCGAUGCGUUGAGCUAACCGGUACUAAUGAACCGUGAGGCUUAACCUU